rnacentral:rRNA from 2 species
AUCCAGACUUUGAUUCUGGCUCAGGAUGAACGCUAGCUACGGGCUUAACACACGCAAGUCGAGGGGAAACGGCAUCGAAAGCUUGCUUUUGAUGGGCGUCGACCGGCGCACGGGUGAGUAACGCGUAUCCAACCUGCCCAUCACUUGGGGAUAACCUUGAGAAAGUAAGACUAAUACCCAAUGAUAUCCCACGAAGGCAUCUGAAUGGGAUUAAAGAUUUAUCGGUGAUGGAUGGGGAUGCGUCUGAUUAGCUUGUUGGCGGGGUAACGGCCCACCAAGGCAACGAUCAGUAGGGGUUCUGAGAGGAAGGUCCCCCACAUUGGAACUGAGACACGGUCCAAACUCCUACGGGAGGCAGCAGUGAGGAAUAUUGGUCAAUGGGCGAGAGCCUGAACCAGCCAAGUAGCGUGCAGGAUGACGGCCCUAUGGGUUGUAAACUGCUUUUAUAAGGGAAUAAAGUGAGUCUCGUGAGACUUUUUGCAUGUACCUUAUGAAUAAGGACCGGCUAAUUCCGUGCCAGCAGCCGCGGUAAUACGGAAGGUCCGGGCGUUAUCCGGAUUUAUUGGGUUUAAAGGGAGCGUAGGCCGGAGAUUAAGCGUGUUGUGAAAUGUAGUGGCUCAACCUCUGUACUGCAGCGCGAACUGGUCUUCUUGAGUACGCACAACGUGGGCGGAAUUCGUGGUGUAGCGGUGAAGUGCUUAGAUAUCACGAAGAACUCCGAUUGCGAAGGCAGCUCACGGGAGCGCAACUGACGCUGAAGCUCGAAAGUGCGGGUAUCGAACAGGAUUAGAUACCCUGGUAGUCCGCGCGGUAAACGAUGGAUGCCCGCUGUUGGCCUGAAUAGGUCAGCGGCCAAGCGAAAACAUUAAGCAUCCCACCUGGGGAGUACGCCGGCAACGGUGCAACUCAAAUG